rnacentral:rRNA from 1 species
GUGGGGAAUCUUGCGCAAUGGGGGAAACCCUGACGCAGCGACGCCGCGUGAGUGAUGAAGGCCUUCGGGUUGUAAAGCUCUGUGGAGAGGGACGAAUAAGUGUCGUCGAAUAGACGGCAUGAUGACGGUACCUUUUUAGCAAGCACCGGCUAACUCUGUGCCAGCAGCCGCGGUAAGACAGAGGGUGCAAACGUUGUUCGGAAUUACUGGGCGUAAAGCGCGUGUAGGCUGCUUGGAAAGUCGGAUGUGAAAGCCCUGGGCUCAACCUAGGAAGUGCAUUCGAAACUUCCAAGCUGGAGUUUCGGAGAGGAAGGCGGAAUUCUCGGUGUAGAGGUGAAAUUCGUAGAUAUCGAGAGGAACACCGGUGGCGAAGGCGGCCUUCUGGACGAUGACUGACGCUGAGACGCGAAAGCGUGGGGAGCAAACAGGAUUAGAUACCCUGGUAGUCC